UGGGGAAUAUUGGACAAUGGGCGCAAGCCUGAUCCAGCCAUGCCGCGUGAGUGACGAAGGCCUUAGGGUUGUAAAGCUCUUUCGGCGGGGAAGAUAAUGACGGUACCCGCAGAAGAAGCCCCGGCUAACUCUGUGCCAGCAGCCGCGGUAAUACAGAGGGGGCAAGCGUUGUUCGGAAUCACUGGGCGUAAAGCGCACGUAGGUGGAUAGUUAAGUUCGGGGUGAAAUCCCAGGGCUCAACCCUGGAACUGCCUCGGAUACUGGCUAUCUCGAGUCCGGAAGAGGUGAGUGGAAUUCCUAGUGUAGAGGUGAAAUUCGUAGAUAUUAGGAAGAACACCGGUGGCGAAGGCGGCUCACUGGAUCGGUACUGACGCUGAGGUGCGAAAGCGUGGGGAGCAAACAGGAUUAGAUACCCAAGUAGUCCCUGAGCGGGCUGGCAAGGCGCAU
rnacentral:rRNA from 1 species